rnacentral:rRNA from 1 species
UGAAGUGUCGUAAGGGCAUUUGGUGGAUGCCUUGGCAUGCACAGGCGAAGAAGGACGUGAUACGCUGCGAUAAGCCGUGGGGAGCUGCGAAUGAGCUUUGAUCCAUGGAUCUCCGAAUGGGGCAACCCACCUUAGAUGCUUGGAAAAUUUAAGUCGUGUUUCGAUACGGCUUAGGUUUCCAAGCAUUGUGAUAAGGUAUCUGCACCUGAAUACAUAGGGUGUAAGAAGCGAACGCAGGGAACUGAAACAUCUAAGUACCUGCAGGAAAGGACAUCAACCGAGACUCCGCAAGUAGUGGCGAGCGAACGCGGACCAGGCCAGUGGCAAUCAGGAAUAAAGCCGAACGACUUGGAAAGGUCGACCGUAGCGGGUGAUAGUCCCGUAGGCGUAGAACACUGAUUGUCCUUGAGUAAGGCGGGACACGUGAAAUCCUGUCUGAACAUGGGGAGACCACUCUCCAAGCCUAAGUACUCGUGCAUGACCGAUAGCGAACAAGUACCGUGAGGGAAAGGUGAAAAGCACCCCGACAAGGGGAGUGAAAUAGAACCUGAAACCGGAUGCCUACAAGCAGUCGGAGCUCGAAAGAGUGACGGCGUACCUUUUGUAUAAUGGGUCAACGACUUAGUGUAACUAGCAANNNNNNNNNNNNNNNNNNNNNNNNNNNNNNNNNNNNNNNNNNNNNNNNNNNNNNNNNNNNNNNNNAGAACCUGAAACCGGAUGCCUACAAGCAGUCGGAGCUCGAAAGAGUGACGGCGUACCUUUUGUAUAAUGGGUCAACGACUUAGUGUAACUAGCAAGCUUAAGCCGGUAGGUGUAGGCGCAGCGAAAGCGAGUCUGAACAGGGCGAUUUUAGUUAGUUGCAUUAGACCCGAAACCGAGUGAUCUAGCCAUGAGCAGGUUGAAGGUUGGGUAACACCAACUGGAGGACCGAACCCGCAUCUGUUGCAAUAGAUUGGGAUGACUUGUGGCUAGGGGUGAAAGGCCAAUCAAACUCGGAGAUAGCUGGUUCUCCGCGAAAUCUAUUUAGGUAGAGCGUCGACCGAAUACCCUCGGGGGUAGAGCACUGGAUGGGCUAUGGGGACUCACCGUCUUACUGAUCCUAACCAAACUCCGAAUACCGAGGAGUACUAGUCGGCAGACACACGGCGGGUGCUAACGUCCGUCGUGAAGAGGGCAACAACCCUGACCUCCAGCUAAGGUCCCCAAGUCAUGGCUAAGUGGGAAAGGAUGUGAGGAUCCCAAAACAACCAGGAUGUUGGCUUAGAAGCAGCCAUCAUUUAAAGAAAGCGUAACAGCUCACUGGUCUAAAUAAGGGUCUUUGCGCCGAAAAUGUAACGGGGCUAAAGCCAUGCACCGAAGCUGAGGAUGUGGAUUUAUCCACGUGGUAGCGGAGCGUUCCGUAAGUCUGUGAAGGCAUAUCCGUGAGGAGUGCUGGAGAUAUCGGAAGUGCGAAUGUUGACAUGAGUAACGAUAAAGAGGGUGAGAGACCCUCUCGCCGAAAGACCAAGGGUUCCUGCUUAAAGUUAAUCUGAGCAGGGUUAGCCGGCCCCUAAGCCGAGGCGGAAACGCGUAGGUGAUGGGAACCACGUUAAUAUUCGUGGGCCUGGUGGUAGUGACGGAUUGCGUAACUUGUUCACUCUUAUUGGAUUGAGUGGGCGGGGAAGCGGUUCCAGGAAAUAGCUCCACCGUACAGACCGUACCCGAAACCGACACAGGUGGUCAGGUAGAGUAUACCAAGGCGCUUGAGAGAACUAUGUUGAAGGAACUCGGCAAAUUGCACGCGUAACUUCGGAAGAAGCGUGACCCCUUUUUACGCAAGUAUGAAGGGGUGGCACAGACCAGGGGGUAGCGACUGUUUAUCAAAAACACAGGGCUCUGCGAAGUCUAAAGACGACGUAUAGGGUCUGACGCCUGCCCGGUGCUGGAAGGUUAAGAGGAGAGGUGCAAGCUUUGAAUCGAAGCCCCAGUAAACGGCGGCCGUAACUAUAACGGUCCUAAGGUAGCGAAAUUCCUUGUCGGGUAAGUUCCGACCUGCACGAAUGGCGUAACGACUUCCCCGCUGUCUCCAACAUAGACUCAGUGAAAUUGAAUUCCCCGUGAAGAUGCGGGGUUCCUGCGGUUAGACGGAAAGACCCCGUGCACCUUUACUAUAGCUUUACACUGGCAUUCGUGUCGGCAUGUGUAGGAUAGGUGGUAGGCU